rnacentral:rRNA from 1 species
UGGGGAAUCUUCCGCAAUGGGCGAAAGCCUGACGGAGCAACGCCGCGUGAGUGAUGACGGCCUUCGGGUUGUAAACCUCUUUUGUCGGGGAGUAACGUGCGGGACGCGUCCCGUAUUGAGAGUACCCGAAGAAAAAGCAUCGGCUAACUCCGUGCCAGCAGCCGCGGUAAUACGGAGGAUGCGAGCGUUAUCCGGAUUUAUUGGGUUUAAAGGGUGCGCAGGCGGCGCGCCAAGUCAGCGGUCAAAGUUCCGGGCUCAACCCGGUGUCGCCGUUGAAACUGGCGUGCUCGAGUGCGUGCGAGGAAGGCGGAAUGCGUUGUGUAGCGGUGAAAUGCAUAGAUAUGACGCAGAACUCCGAUUGCGAAGGCAGCUUUCCAGCGCGCUACUGACGCUGAGGCACGAAAGCGUGGGGAUCGAACAGGAUUAGAUACCCUGGUAGU